UGGGGAAUCUUGCACAAUGGGCGACAGCCUGAUGCAGCAAUGCCGCGUGAGGGAAGACGGCCUUCGGGUUGUAAACCUCUUUCAGUUGGGAUGAAGGUCGUACGGUGAACAGCCGUCCGACUGACCGUACCUUCAGAAGAAGCUCCGGCUAACUACGUGCCAGCAGCCGCGGUAAUACGUAGGGGGCGAGCGUUGUCCGGAAUCAUUGGGCGUAAAGCGCGUGUAGGCGGUUUCGUAAGUCUGCUGUGAAAGUCGGAGGCUCAACCUUCGAAAGCCGGUGGAUACUGCGAGACUUGAGUCCGGAAGAGGAGAGUGGAAUUCCUGGUGUAGCGGUGAAAUGCGCAGAUAUCAGGAGGAACACCAACGGCGAAGGCAGCUCUCUGGGACGGUACUGACGCUGAGACGCGAAAGCGUGGGGAGCAAACA
rnacentral:rRNA from 1 species